rnacentral:lncRNA from 1 species
CUCGAACUCACCGAGUGUGCUUCUUUCAUCCCAGCGCUCAGGAGGCUGAGGCAGGGGGAUCUCUGUGAGCGUCUCUCCUCUCCCUGUGGCCCAGCAGUUUCUGAUACAGAGGAGAUGCACUGUCAUUUGGGGGAAAGCGUCUUGUUGCACUUGGUUCUUAACUUGUGGCUCACAACCCUGUGCCCAUCACUCCGUGAACUCUGACCUGCACUCUGCUCUGCAAGAGGAUGAAACUCAGCAGGUGGAGACGUUCUGUCAUUAAGAAACCCCAGAGCCUCUGUAGAGAAGACUGGCAGUGUGUCCCACAAGCUCUGGGACAGAGAACCAACAGUGUGACUUACAGGAAGGAGAGCUAAGCAACGGCUGGCGGGGGGGGGGGGGGGGGGGGCGGAUCUUCCAGGAGAAGGGGGCUCAGUUGGCAGCUCUGCCCAGUUUAAACUGCGGAUUACCUGACAUGUGGGGGUGGGGGUGGGGGGAUGGAGCCUGUGGGAACUGUGAGCCUCUUUUCCUGUCAGAGGUAGUAACUUGUAGUUUGUUGUGAGUUCACUGAGUUUGACAGGCUAGCACGAGGCAGGCUAGUCUUCUGCCCAGAUGUGUGUUGUGUGUAUGCCCGUGGAGGCCAGAGGUCAAUAUCGGGUCUCUUCUCAGUUUCUCUCCACUUGAUCUGUUUUGUUUUGUUUUGUUUUUUUUUUUGAGACCAGGUUUCUCCAUGUAGUUCCAUGUCCUGGAACUCAGUUUGUAGACCAGCUGGCCUCAGAUUCAGAGAGAUCCACCUGCCUCUGCUGGGAUGAAAGAUUUGCCCCAAAGCGUGGCUAGAGUUUAUUCUUGCCUGUUACCAUUGGGCGCUCUGCAGCUUCUGGGCCUUGCCG